rnacentral:rRNA from 1 species
AUUGAACGCUGGCGGCAGGCCUAACACAUGCAAGUCGAGCGGAUGACGGGAGCUUGCUCCUUGAUUCAGCGGCGGACGGGUGAGUAAUACCUAGGAAUCUGCCUGAUAGUGGGGGACAACGUUUCGAAAGGAACGCUAAUACCGCAUACGUCCUACGGGAGAAAGCAGGGGACCUUCGGGCCUUGCGCUAUCAGAUGAGCCUAGGUCGGAUUAGCUAGUUGGUGAGGUAAUGGCUAACCAAGGGGACGAUCCGUAACUGGUAUGAGAGGAUGAUAAGUCACGCUGGAACUGAGACCGGGUCCAGACUCGUACGGGAGUCAGCAGUGGGGAAUAUUGGACAAUGGGCGAAAGCCUGCUCCAGCCAUGCCGCGUGUGGGAAGAAGGUCUUCGGAUUGUAAAGCACUUUAAGUUGGGAGGAAGGGCAGUAAGCUAAUACCUUGCUGUUUUGACGUUACCGACAGAAUAAGCACCGGCUAACUCUGUGCCAGCCGCCGCCGUAACAC